AUUGAACGCUGGCGGCAGGCCUAACACAUGCAAGUCGAACGAGUGGCGGACGGGUGAGUAAUGUCUGGGAAACUGCCUGAUGGAGGGGGAUAACUACUGGAAAAGUUAGCUAAUACCGCAUAACAUCAGAUGUGCCCAGAGGGGAUUAGCUUGUUGGUUGGGUAACGCCUCACCAAGGCGACGAUCCCUAGCUGGUCUGAGAGGAUGACCAGCCACACUGGAACUGUGACACGGCCCAGACUCCUACGGGAGGCAGCAGUGGGGAAUAUUGCACAAUGGCCGCAAGCCUUAUGCAGCCAUGCCGCGUGUAUGAAGAAGGCCUUCGGGUUGUAAAGGACUUUCAGCGGGGAGGCGUUACCCGCAGAAGAAGCACCGGCUAACUCCGUGCCAGCAGCCGCGGUAAUAC
rnacentral:rRNA from 1 species